rnacentral:rRNA from 1 species
CCUACGGGAGGCAGCAGUGGGGAAUAUUGCACAAUGGGGCGAAAGCCUGAUGCAGCAACGCCGCGUGAGGGAUGACGGCCUUCGGGUUGUAAACCUCUUUUAGUAGGGAAGAAGCGAAAGUGACGGUACCUGCAGAAAAAGCACCGGCUAACUACGUGCCAGCAGCCGCGGUAAUACGUAGGGUGCAAGCGUUGUCCGGAAAUAUUGGGCGUAAAGAGCUCGUAGGCGGUUUGUCGCGUCUGCUGUGAAAUCUGGGGGCUCAACCCCCAGCCUGCAGUGGGUACGGGCAGACUAGAGUGCGGUAGGGGAGAUUGGAAUUCCUGGUGUAGCGGUGGAAUGCGCAGAUAUCAGGAGGAACACCGAUGGCGAAGGCAGAUCUCUGGGCCGUAACUGACGCUGAGGAGCGAAAGCAUGGGGAGCGAACAGGAUUAGAUACCCUGGUAGUCCAUGCCGUAAACGUUGGGAACUAGAUGUGGGGGCCAUUCCACGGUCUCCGUGUCGCAGCUAACGCAUUAAGUUCCCCGCCUGGGGAGUACGGCCGCAAGGCUA